AUGACGCAGGCGGCGCCGGCGCUUGAGGCGAUGCUGCUGCCCCGCUUGCCGGCCGUGCUCGAGCCCCUCGAUAUCCUCCCUCCUCUGGGACGCGGCCGUGCUGCUCCCGUCCCUGGAGGCCUGGACGCGGCCGUCCUCCUCGGCGAUCUCGUGGCCGGCGGCGGCGGCGAAGUCCGCUGGCAGGUCAGCAGCGCGGAGGGAGAGCGCGUCCAGGGCCUCGCUGGCGGGGGCCGGACGGGGGCCGGAUCGGGCAACGGGAGGAAGGAGGAAGAAGCUGAGGGGGCUGAUUUGCAGCAGUUUAAAAGGCAGAAGGUCUUUUUUGUAAAAUUAGAGUUGAACUAA
rnacentral:rRNA from 1 species